rnacentral:lncRNA from 1 species
CCCGACUCGUUUUUCCACGCUGAUUCCUCCUGUGGCCAAAUCGGAGCCAAAAUCCUGGCCAAACGGCCGGAAUACGCGGCCGAAGACCAGCGGCGCCGCCGCGCCCCUUCUCGGUUUUUGCCUCCGAUGAGGCCUUUCCCGGCCUCCGUUUGAUGCAAUUUUUAUAUCACCGUGAUCACAAUUCUUUUCUCUACAGGUUGACCGGAGCCGAAUCACCAAAACACGAACCUCGCCAGAGAGCCGCCGCACCCGAGAGUGCCGCCGCCGGUAAGCUCCGUUUUUCCGUGAUUUUUUGGCCCCCCGAGGGCCCUAGGGUUGUUUUCUCGCAGGGACCGAUGCAAGUGUGGCCGAAUUCAGCCAAAAAUGGCCGAAAACAGCCAACCCGAGGCGAAUCGCCGCCGUGUCGGAGUUGCGAUAUUGGCCAAAAAGGGGCCCUGGGCCUAAUUUGAGAUUUUUUGGAACACGUGCAGGUACCGUUAGUGCGUUUCAGUUCCCCGGAAAAAAUUCAGGGAAAAUUAGGAACAGCCUGUAGGCGCACUGUGAAUCGUAUUCGAAUCCCGAAAACAAGUAAGGACCCCUCACCCUAUUUCCUAUCACGGUAUUAAAGUUCAAAAUGAUAAAACGGUAUUUCUUGAAUUAACGAAUGUGUGAAAUUGCUUAAGGUGGCUAAUGGAGCCCGAGUCUAGUGUGAUUGGUGAUUUACUGUUAUUUGGCCUGUUUACAGCUUUAAAUGCAGCAUGAGGUUUGAUGUGUUCAUUUUACAGAUUUGUGUGCAUAUACUACGUUUUUAUUAAUUAUGGGUUGAAUGACCGGGAUACUGAUACUGUAUGUUGUCUGUUUGGCAUGAAUUACGAUUUGCUUGUUUAAAUGUGAAUUGAUGAUGCUGACUGAGGAAAAGGAAAAUAAAAGAUUGUGUAGACUGAUAAUUGUAUUAUGGGGUCAGCCUGACUAGAUAUCCUGGGAGAUGGUGGACGGACCGGGUCUGUAGGGAACCCUACCGGGAUUAUGGUCUCACAUGCCGGACGGGGCAUGGAGAUCUUAUGGUUUUGGCGCCCAUACCGGACGGGGUAUGGGGACGGCCCGUUUCACCCUCAUACCGGACGGGGUAUUGAGGUUUAUGGUUUUGGCGCCCAUACCGGACGGGGUAUGGGGACGGCCCGUUUCACGCUCAUACCGGACGGGGUAUUGAGGUUUAUGGUUUUGGCGCCCAUACCGGACGGGGUAUGGGGACGGCCCUGGAAACUGAUUAUGAAUGUUAAAGGUUAACGGGUAGCGGGACCCCUAUGGACCCCCACGGAUACUAGUAAGCUGGUAAAUGAGAAAAAGAUAUGUUGUAUAAUGAUUGAAUUACAAGAGGCGUGAUAAGUGUUAUGUUUUACAGCUUAUAUUAUUCUAUGAUUAUGAUAAUGUUAUUGUUUUUCUUAUAUUGUUUCAUAAAUUCCACCGAGGUAAGUGGAUGGUAAAGGUUUUAUCAUAAAUAAAAGAAUUUGUUGUAAAACAUGCUCCAUGGGUCCUUUGUGUUUUCUACCCACCUUUACCUCCGUGACGGUGAGAUAUCGUGAUGUUCUUAUUGGGCUAGUGUAGCUCACUCCUUAUUUAACCAUUUCAGAUCAGGAAGACAUGGUUCCCGAGCCCGUUCCGCAGGAGGACGACGAAAGGGAUGCCUAGAGACUCUGUAGUCAUAAUCAUAGCUUUAUUUUCGAGUUUCUCUUUUAGUUAGUUUAAUCUUUUAUAUUUUAAGUACGUUUUUGGUUUUCGUGUAAGGGAUGUUAACUGAAAUUUUGAUCUCGCUUCCGCAUUUGAUAUAAUUAAAUACUCAUUUCAUUUUAA